GGGUUGUGAGGUUAAGCGACUAAGCGUACACGGUGGAUGCCCUGGCAGUCAGAGGCGAUGAAGGACGUGCUAAUCUGCGAAAAGCGUCGGUAAGGUGAUAUGAACCGUUACAGCCGGCGAUGUCCGAAUGGGGAAACCCAGUGCAAUUCGUUGCACUAUCGUUAACUGAAUACAUAGGUUAACGAGGCGAACCGGGGGAACUGAAACAUCUAAGUACCCCGAGGAAAAGAAAUCAACCGAGAUUCCCCCAGUAGCGGCGAGCGAACGGGGAGCAGCCCAGAGUCUGAAUCAGCUUGUGUGUUAGUGGAACGGUCUGGAAAGUCCGACGGUACAGGGUGAUAGUCCCGUACACCAAAAUGCACAGGUUGUGAACUCGAAGAGUAGGGCGGGACACGUGGUAUCCUGUCUGAAUAUGGGGGGACCAUCCUCCAAGGCUAAAUACUCCUGACUGACCGAUAGUGAACCAGUACCGUGAGGGAAAGGC
rnacentral:rRNA from 1 species